rnacentral:rRNA from 1 species
UACGUAGGGGGCUAGCGUUAUCCGGAAUUACUGGGCGUAAAGGGUGCGUAGGUGGUUUCUUAAGUCAGAGGUGAAAGGCUACGGCUCAACCGUAGUAAGCUUUUGGAACUGUAAGACUUGAGUGCAGGAGAGGAGAGUGGAAUUCCUAGUGUAGCGGUGAAAUGCGUAGAUAUUAGGAGGAACACCAGUAGCGAAGGCGGCUCUCUGGACUGUAACUGACGCUGAGGCACGAAAGCGUGGGGAGCAAACAGGAUUAGAUACCCGGGUAGUCCCUGAGCGGG